rnacentral:rRNA from 1 species
CAGUCGCCGCGGUAAUACGCAGGUGGUAAGCGUUGUCCGGAAUUAUUGGGCGUAAAGGGCUCGCAGGCGGUUUCUUAAGUCUGAUGUGAAAGCCCCCGGCUCAACCGGGGAGGGUCAUUGGAAACUGGGAAACUUGAGUGCAGAAGAGGAGAGUGGAAUUCCACGUGUAGCGGUGAAAUGCGUAGAGAUGUGGAGGAACACCAGUGGCGAAGGCGACUCUCUGGUCUGUAACUGACGCUGAGGAGCGAAAGCGUGGGGAGCGAACAGGAUUAGAGACCCCGGUAGUCCCUGUCUCUUAUAC